rnacentral:rRNA from 1 species
CGCAACCCUAGGUCAGGCGGGAUCACCCGUUGAGUUUAAGCAUAUCAAUAAGUGGAGGAAAAAAAACUUACCAGGAUUCCCCUAGUAACGGUGAGCGAACCGGGAAGAGCCCAGCUUGAUAAUCGGGCACCCCCGACAUUCGAAUUGUAGUAUGGAGAAGCGUCCUCAGCGGUGGAUCGGGCCCAAGUCCCCUAGAAAGGGGAGUCAAAGAGGGUGAGAGCCCCGUUGUGCUCAGAUCCUAUCGCACCAUGAAGCGUUGUCCGCGAGUCGGGUUGUUUGGGAAUACAGCCCCAAUCGGGUGGUAAAUUUCAUCCAAGGCUGAAUACAGGUGAGAGACCGAUAGCGAACAAGUACUGUGAGGGAAAGAUGAAAAGGACUUUGAAAAGAGAGUCAAAAAGUGCUUGAAAUUGUCGGGGAGAGAAGAGGAUGGGGGCCGGUGAUGUGCCCUGGUCGGAUGUGGAACGGCGAGAGCCAGUCUGCCGAUCGGUCUGGGGCAUGGAUCAACGUGGGUCACGACGGUGGCCCAAGCCUGGGCUUUCGAUGUGCUCGCGGAGAUGUCAUCACCGUGAUCAUGGAAUGCAACACGUGCCAUCUCGGCAUGCCCCGACACCGGCAUUCUCCAGGCGUUGGCCUGCGGGCUCCCCAUCCAGCCCGUCUUGAAACACAGACCAAGGAGUCUGACAUGCGUACGAGUCAAUGGGCUAGGAAACCCAUAAGGCGCAAGGAAGCUGAUUGACGGGAUCCCUCGCGGGUGGACCGCUGACCGACCUUGAUCUUUUAAGAAGGGUUUGAGUGUGAGCAUGCCCGUCGGGACCCGAAAGAUGGUGAACUAUGCCUGAGCAGGGCAAAGCCAGAGAAAACUCUAGUGGAGGCCCAUAACGAUACUAACGUGCAAAUCGUUCAUUUGACUUGGGUAUAGGGGCGAAAGACUAAUCGAACUGUCUAGUAACUGGUUCCCUCCGAAGUUUCCCUCAGGAUAGCUAGAGCCCCCGUCGAGUUCUAUCAGGUAAAGCCAAUGAUUAGAGGCAACGGGGGUGUAACACCCUCGACCUAUUCUCAAACUUUAAAUAGGUAGGACGGCGUGGCUGUUUCGUUGAGCCGCACCAUGGAAUCAAGAGCUCCAAGUGGGCCAUUUUUGGUAAGCAAAACUGACGAUGCGGGAUGAACCGAAAGUUGGGUUACGGUGCCCAACUGUGCGCUAACCCAGAACCCAUAAAGGGUGUUGGUUGAUUAAGACAGCAGAACAAUGGUCAUGCAAGUUAAAAUCCGCUAAGGAUCGUGUAACAACUCACCUCCAAAUCAACUAGCCCCGAAAAUGGAUGGCACUUAAGAACGUGACCUAUACGCGACCGUCGGGGCAAGGGCCAGGCCUCGAUGAGUAGAAGGGCACGACGAUCACUGCAAAACUCGAGGUGCGAGCCUCGAUAGAGCGACCAUCGGUGCAGAUCUUGGUGGUAGUAGCAAAUAUUCAAAUGAGAACUUUGAAGGCCGAAUAGGGGAAAGGUUCCAUAUGAACGGCACUUGCACAUGGGUUAGUCAAUCCUAAGAGACGGGGAAAGCCCGUCCGACAGCGUGUCCCAUGUGAGUUUCGAAAGGGAAUCGGGUUAAAAUUCUUGAACCGAGAUGCGAUGGCUGAUGACAACGUUAGGGAGUCCGGAGACGUCGACGGGGGCCUCAGGAAGAUUAUCUUUUCUGUUUAACAACCCACCCACCCUAGAAACGGCUCAGCUGGAGGUAGGGUCUAGUGGCUGGAAGAGCAUUGCAUGUCGCGUGGUGUCCGAUGCACCCCUGACGGCCCUUGAAAAUUCAGAUGGCCGAGUGCUGUCCGCGCUCGAUCGUACUUAUAAUCACAUCAGGUCUCCAAGGUGAGCAGCCUCGGGUCGAUGGAACAAUGUAGGCAAAGGAAGUCGGCAAAAUGGAUCCGUAACCUCGGGAAAAAGAUUGGCUCUGAGGGCUGGGUAUAGGGGUCCCAGUCUCAAACCGUUGGCUACCGAUGCACUUCUCGAGCUACUCCCACAGCGAGAGCGAGUCGUCACGUGUCGAUCGAGGGACGGACUAGGAACGGCUCCCUCGAGGGCUUUCCUCGGGCAAUGAACAGUCGACUCAUAACUGGUACAAAAAAGGGGAAUCCGACUAUUUAAUUAAAACAAAGCAUUGCAAUGGUCCUUGCGGAUGCUCAUGCAAUGUGAUUUCUGCCCAGUGCUCUGAAUGUCAAAAUGAAGAAAUUCAACCAAGCGCGGGUAAACAGCGGGAGUAACUAUGACUCUUUUAAGGUAGCUAAAUGCCUCGUCAUCUAAUUAGUGACGUGCAUGAAUGGAUUAACGAGAUUCCCACUAUCCCUAUCUAUUAUCCAGCGAAACCACAGCCAAGGGAAUGGGCUUGGCGAAAUCAACAGGGAAAGAAGACCCUGUUGAGCUUGACUCUAGUCUGACUUUAUGAAAUGACUUGAGAGGUGUAGCAUAAGUGGGAGCCCCCAGGUGAAAUUGAAAUACCACUACUUUUAACAUUAUUUUAUUUAUUCUGUGAAUCGGACGUAGGGCACGACCCUUUCUUUUGGACCUAAAGCCAGCCUCGACCGAUCGAUUUAGGUGAAAGACAUUGUCAGGUGGAGAGUUUGACUGGGGUGGCACAUCUGUUAAAAGAUAACGUAGGUGUCAUAAGAUGAGCUCAACGAGAAUAGAAAUCUCAUGUGGAACAAAAGGGUAAAAGCUCGUUUGAUUUUGUUUUCCAGUACGAAUACGAAUUGUGAAAGCGUGGCCUAUCGAUCCUUUAGACCUUUGAGAUUUGAAGCUAGAAGAGUCAGAAAAGUUACCAUAGCGAUAACUGGCUUAUGGCAGCCAAGUGUUCAUAGUGACGUUGCUUUUUGAUCCUUCGAUGUCGGCUCUUCCUAUCAUUGUGAAGUAGAAUUCACCAAGUGUUGGAUUGUUCACCCACCAAUAGAGAACGUGAGCUGGGUUUAGACCAUAGUGAGACAGGUUAGUUUUACCUUACUAAUGGUGGCGUCGCGAUAGUAAUUCAACCUAGUACGAGAGGAACCAUUGAUUCACACAAUUGGUCAUCGCGCUUGGUUGAAAAGCUAGUGGCGUGAAGCUACGUGUGCUAGAUUAUGACUGAUGCCUCUAAGUCAGAAUCUGGGCUAGAAGCAACACGCGUGCCCAUCGCCCGAUUACCGACCCACAGUAGGGGCCCAUGGCCCUCAAGGGCACGUGUCAUGGGUACAGCCCCCAUGACGGACAAGCCACGCGGGCCUCCUUGGAGCUCAAUACCCACCGAGCGGUGGGUAGAAUCCUUUGCAGAUGACUUAAAUAUGUGACGGGGUAUUGUAAGUGGCAGAGUGGCCUUGCUGCCAUGAUCCAGUGAGAUUCAGCCCU